CGAACACUCGUCAUUGGACACAGCGGCUGCGCUUAAUUACAGCGUCGACUUGGACAGCGAGAAAGAUAAAGACCACCCUCUGGUAAAAUCUCUCAAUGCCGUCUUCAUAAAGAACGCUGGCUGGAAAGCUGUCAUGUUGUUUCUUAUGCCGAGGAUCUACAAGGUCUUGAAGCCUGACUACCCGCCAAAGGCAAACAUCGACAUAUUCAGGGCGUUUGUAUCACAUGUGGCUCAAGAGCGGGAGUCGAAAAACAAGAAAGAAGACGACUUCCUGCAGCUGUUCAUG
rnacentral:lncRNA from 1 species